CGCGUUCCCAUCCCGAACACGACCGUUAAGCCCUCCAGCGCCGAUGGUACUUGGACCGCAGGGUCCUGGAAGAGUAGGACGUCGCCAAGC
rnacentral:rRNA from 1 species